rnacentral:lncRNA from 1 species
CUUUCUGAGAUGCCUAAUUAAUAUGGACCAAGACAAGUGCAGAAAGAUUUGAGACAAAGGGAAUUCCUUUAAGACACGGAGUUACAUUCCAUUGACAGAUGAGUGAAAUUGCCAUUAUUUUCUGAGAUUUUCCACCUGGUUUUGCACUGACUUAAAGUAGCAGUCUUGUAACGUCAUAGAUGAAGUCAUGUAUACAGUAUAUUGAGAAACCUUUCAGAACUUCUUGACUUCAGAGCUGUUCUUCUGGGAAGACCCUCGUAAGAUGGGCAUUGAGCUGUCAGAGGCGGAUGGGACCAAAUAUUUCCAUGGGAGGGCACCGGGACACCCGUGUACCAGGCCCAUGGCAGGGCCAAGAGCAGGGAUUUCAUCAAUGGGGGAGACACCAUCUUCAUGCUCACCAUGGAGGAUGUGUCCCACCCGUCCCCUCUACGCGCCACCCGUCACCAUGGUUACCACCGCCAUGCCGCACUCUGACCCCUGCACUAACAUUACAUGUGGGAAUGAGGGAGUCUGUAUUGGAUGCUGGAAAUGCUGUUUGCAGGUGUGCAGUUGGUGAUGACUGGUGGUACUAUGGAGAGACUUGUCAGUAUCCUGGCUUCACCCAGGACACGG